UACGUAGGGUGCAAGCGUUGUCCGGAAUUAUUGGGCGUAAAGAGCUCGUAGGCGGUCUGUCGCGUCUGCUGUGAAAUCCCGGGGCUCAACCCCGGGCUUGCAGUGGAUACGGGCAGACUAGAGUUCGGUAGGGGAGACUGGAAUUCCUGGUGUAGCGGUGAAAUGCGCAGAUAUCAGAAGGAACACCGGUGGCGAAGGCGGGUCUCUGGGCCGGAACUGACGCUGAGGAGCGAAAGCGUGGGGAGCGAACAGG
rnacentral:rRNA from 1 species